AUGAAUGGGUGGGCCUUGAUCCCACAAAAAUU
rnacentral:tRNA from 1 species